rnacentral:rRNA from 1 species
AUUGAACGCUGGCGGCAUGCCUUACACAUGCAAGUCGAACGGUAACGCGGGGCAACCUGGCGACGAGUGGCGAACGGGUGAGUAAUGCAUCGGAACGUGCCCGGUAGUGGGGGAUAACUGCCCGAAAGAGCAGCUAAUACCGCAUACGACCGGAGGGUGAACGGGGGGGAUCGCAAGACCUCUCGCUAUCGGAGCGGCCGAUGUCGGAUUAGCUAGUUGGUGGGGUAAAGGCCUACCAAGGCGACGAUCCGUAGCUGGUCUGAGAGGACGACCAGCCACACUGGGACUGAGACACGGCCCAGACUCCUACGGGAGGCAGCAGUGGGGAAUUUUGGACAAUGGAUGCAAGUCUGAUCCAGCCAUGCCGCGUGCGGGAAGAAGGCCUUCGGGUUGUAAACCGCUUUUGUCAGGGAAGAAAUCUUCUGAGUUAAUACCUCGGGAGGAUGACGGUACCUGAAGAAUAAGCACCGGCUAACUACGUGCCAGCCGCCGCGGUAAAAC